UGGGGAAUUUUGGACAAUGGGCGCAAGCCUGAUCCAGCCAUGCCGCGUGUGUGAAGAAGGCCUUCGGGUUGUAAAGCACUUUCGGCCGGAACGAAAUCGCCUCCGUUAAUAGCGGGGGUGGAUGACGGUACCGGAAGAAGAAGCACCGGCUAACUACGUGCCAGCAGCCGCGGUAAUACGUAGGGUGCGAGCGUUAAUCGGAAUUACUGGGCGUAAAGGGUGCGCAGGCGGUUGCGCAAGUCAGGCGUGCAAUCCCCGGGCUUAACCUGGGAAUGGCGCUUGAAACUACGUGACUGGAGUAUGGCAGAGGGAGGUGGAAUUCCACGUGUAGCGGUGAAAUGCGUAGAGAUGUGGAGGAACACCGAUGGCGAAGGCAGCCUCCUGGGCCAAUACUGACGCUCAUGCACGAAAGCGUGGGGAGCAAACAGGAUUAGAUACCCCCGUAGUCCCUGAGCGGGCUGGCAAGGCGCAU
rnacentral:rRNA from 1 species